rfam:Drechslerella stenobrocha 248 unplaced genomic scaffold DRE_Scf_55, whole genome shotgun sequence.
CCUGAAGUAUUCCCUUUUGAACCUACUUGAUUAUGCAUAAGAAGUAAUUCGUUUGUAUAAAGCUUUGAGGAAUAAAGGCUUUUGACAGUAAAGCCUUGGUUAAGAGAAUUAUGGUAAACGUAAGUGAAGAUGCGCUAUAAAUGGCCCGUAUUAAUUUCAGCUGCGAAGCAGC